CUGUCUUCUCCCGAUAGAUGGCAGAUUGCUCUCCCACUCCCAAACACAGGGCAGAUUUUUUCCCCAGCUUUAUUGAGAUACAAUUGACAACACUGCAGAUUUUAAAUUGGCAUAGACCAGCGUGAUGCUUCCAUUCAAAUAUGGGCGACCGAUGCAGGGAGGCGUCGAGAUCAGAAGCCCUCCGAGAUUCCUAGAGCGGUCGGCCCCUGGGGUCCCCAGAGGCUCUCCAGCCCCACUUCCGGCCAGCCCAUCUCCGGUAAAUCCUGAGAGUGAGGGGUCCAGCUUGAGGCUCCGCGAGUCGCCAACGUGGUGUUUUCUGGGCCUGUCGGGCCGGGGCGCCCCGGAGGCCUGGCGAGCGAGCGAGACUGGACUGGAGGAGGCCAGGACGCCGCGCCGGGGCCGAGCGGGCUUCCCGUCGGCGCAGCGGGCCGGGGUGACCACUCUCUGCCUGUCCAGGACCAGUGAAGUUCAGGAGGUUCCCCAGGGUCGGUCCUCACCAGAGCGAGAGGCCCAGCCUCCCUUUCCAAGGUCAUUUCCAGCAGAAGUGUGAGUACUUCCCCCAGGUCUUUACAUCUUAAAUUCCUUAUAGUACAGGUCAGCUUCCUGAGCUCCAGCUGGCUGUUUGAGAACCAAGCAGCACUCCCGAAGGUGCCCAGCUCUGUGGUGCAGCUUGGCUCAGAAACAGAACAACACAGACAAGGAGAGGCGUGAGAAGUCCCAGAAUCUGGCCUGUUCCCUGCCAAAAAUCAGGAGGUCUUUCUGACCCGCCAGAGCCUUUGUUGCCUUCUGUGUGAAUGCAGACCCUGCUGCCUCUCCCCCUCCCUCCUGGCUGCCUGCUGACUUUCUUCUGUGGCCACAUGAAGAGUGUAGCUGUUUUAUAGACGUGUGAAUGUUGUGAAUGUCUACAGUA
rnacentral:lncRNA from 1 species